rnacentral:lncRNA from 1 species
AAUUAUUUCUGCUUUAUUAUUGAUCAAGAGUAUGUAAAAGACUUAAAAGACAGUUACAAAGAGACUUAAUCACUAAAUAUAUAAUCAGAAACCAAGUUGUUUGAAAUUAAUAAUUUGAAAGUGACUCAAAAAAGACUACAAUAUAUUUAACUUCAUUCUUCAAUUAGGGGCAAAUAAACACUUAAAAAAUACUUUUAACAUACUAAGAAAAAAGUUGUGCACAAAUCCCAAUGCCUACAAAAAAACGCAUUAGA